rnacentral:antisense_RNA from 1 species
CGCGCGGUGAACCCCCACGACACCUCGGCACCGGACAGCACCUCGUUGUCACCGAAGUGCUCGCCGUCGGCCAUCGUGCCCAGCGCCACGUCGUCGCCGUACUUGCCGCGGCCGGUCUUGGCGACCUUGCCGUGCGCGAUGACCACGAUGGUGUCGGCCGGGGUGUCGCGUUCGGCGAUCACGUCGCCCGGCUGGUACUCGCGCUGCUCGAACCGGCUCGCGAGCGCGGUGAGCGCGUCCUCGUCGUCGAACCCGCACAGCAGCGGGAACUCGGCCAGCUCCUGCGGCACCGGGCGGACCUCGGAGCCGACGCUGGUGAACGUGACCCGGCCGUCGCCGAUCGCGAACGUGAGCCGCCGGUUGACCCGGAAAGCACCACCCUUGGCCUCGACCCACGGCAGCAGGCGCAGCAGCCACCGGGGCGAGAUCCCCUGCAUCUGCGGUGCGGACUUGGUGGUCGUCGCGAGGUUGCGCGCAGCGGCCCGCGACAGGCUCCGCUGCUGGUCCU